rnacentral:rRNA from 1 species
CACCUACGGGAGGCAGCAGUAAGGAAUAUUGCUCAAUGGGGGAAACCCUGAAGCAGCAACGCCGCGUGAAGGAUGAAAUACUUUUGUAUGUAAACUUCUGUAAGAUGGGAAAAAUAUUCUCCUCGGGAGAAUUGAUUGUACCAUCAGAGUAAGCCCCGGCUAACUACGUGCCAGCAGCCGCGGUAAUACGUAGGGGGCAAGCGUUGUCCGGAUUCACUGGGUGUAAAGGGUGCUCAGGCGGACUUGUAAGUCAGAGGUGAAACUCCGAAGCUUAACUUCGGAACUGCCUUUGAUACUGCAAGUCUCGAGUACGGGAGAGGGUAAUGGAAUAACAGGUGUAGCAGUGAAAUGCGUAGAUAUCUGUUAGAACACCAAUGGCGAAGGCAGUUGCCUGGCCCGUUACUGACGCUAAAGCACGAAAGUGUGGGUAGCAAACAGGAUUAGAUACCCUGGUAGUCCACACCCUAAACGAUGAGAACUAGUUGUUGGCCCUUUUAAGGGUCAGUGACUUAGCUAACGCAUU